rnacentral:rRNA from 1 species
ACGGCUCAGUAACACGUGGCUAACCUGCCCUUGGGACGAGGAUAACCCCGGGAAACUGGGGACAAUCCUUGAUAGGUGAAGAACUCUGGAAUGAGUCUUUGCCCAAAGGGCGUUGGAUCAUGCUUCCAGCGUUGCCCAAGGAUGGGGCCGCGACCGAUCAGGUUGUUGGUGAGGUAAUGGCCCACCAAGCCUAUUACCGGUGCGGGCCGUGAGAGCGGGAGCCCGGAGACGGGCACUGAGACAAGGGCCCAGGUCCUACGGGGCGCAGCAGUCGCGAAAACUUUGCAAUGCACGAAAGUGUGACAGGGUCAUCCCGAGUGCCGACCGCUGAGGUUGGCUUUUACCCAGUCUAGAAAGCUGGGGGAAUAAGGAGAGGGCAAGUCUGGUGUCAGCCGCCGCGGUAAUACCAGCUCUCCAAGUGGUGUGGACGUUUAUUGGGCCUAAAGCAUCCGUAGCUGGCUGGGCAAGUCCUCUGUUAAACCCACCGAUUUAAUCGUUGGCGUGCGGGGGAUACUGCUCGGCUAGGGGACGAGAGAGGCAGACGGUAUUCCCGGGGUAGGGGUGAAAUCCUAUAAUCCCGAGAAGACCACCAGUGGCGAAGGCUGUCUGCUAGAACGCGCCCGACGGUGAGGGAUGAAAGCUGGGGGAGCGAACCGGAUUAGAUACCCGGGUAGUCCCAGCUGUAAACAAUGCAAACUAGGUGUUUGGACGGCCACGUGCCGUUCUAGUGCCGCAGGGAAGCUGUUAAGUUGCCGCCUGGGA